CAAAUGUAUGAGUGUUCGGACAGAAGUUAUUCUUUACGUAAGAACUUUGAUAUGUGCUCACUUAGGUCUUGUAUUUUGAGCAAAGAUUCGUAGUAAGUAAAAUUUACAAAGCUUGGUCAACUAAAGUAUUAAAUUCAAUGAUUUUUUAGAAAAGUAAAGACCAUUCAGGUUGUGAAAUACCAUCCAGUACAUGGUCAUACCAUCCUAAAAAACACUGAUAAUAGGAAGCUAUAGUGUCAUAAAGUACAGAAUCCUACAGGUAAGAAAGUUAAUCAUGUCUGAGAGACAAGAAAAGAAUCAAAUAGUUAUCAGCCUCUUGCACACCAAAUUAAUGUGUUGUUUUUGUUGCACCUGAGACAAAUCUCUUUACAUAUAAACAUUGAUUUCAAACCAUAUGAGCUUUCAAUGAGACACGGUUCCUCAAGCAGUGUAAGUGCUGCGAAAUGAAAAUUCAGCGUGUCGGGAUCAAGCCAAAGGAUAAGAAAAUGCAAAAACAUAAGUCUUUCGGUAUCGAAAAACCAUGGUAGCUUCAAGUGCUACCAGAAAUAGGUUGAGCCUGUCAAAAAAAAAACAGUGGGAUAUCAUAGGUUUCCAGUAAAAGUGGCACAAAGUUCCUGAUUGCCUUGCCCAUGAAUUUGUGUUGAGGAAGCAAGCACAAACCCGUACAAAUGCAUUAUUGUUACAUGUGUUCUACCGGUAUCGCAAAAAAUUAAACCAUGUACGAUAACCCUCUUUAAAAGUUCUCAUAUUAAUCCUGGUUGUGGCCAUUUGUGGGAACAUGAUUUAGAAUAUUUAACAACAAAUGAAGUUCAUAUUUUGAUUUUUUAACAACUAAGAUUGCAGUUAUAUCUGAUCAUGCUUGAUGCUCAUAUUUGAUUCCCUACCCUGCAAUUUACCUGUAGAUAGGAAAAGAGGGUACUAUUAAUCAUUGCAAAACGGCCAUGCAAAAUUAUAUGAGAUGACUACAAAAUAUUUUUCUAUGAUCAGACCCUACGCAAGCGGGAGCUACAUGCACCGGCUGCCUUUUUUUUACUCUGGAUUAUAAGGAUAUAAAACUGGAAGGGAAACCACACGAAAAGAGAAUUUGGCUUUAAACGUUUGUAUAUAGUACUCUUCUUUGGCAUGAAAGGUACUCCAAAGAGUAGUAUGUAACAAUUAAAUGAGUAACCCUUAGAUGAAAAUGUAGUCAGAGCAGCCAUUUUAAACACUUGCAACAUGACAAAUGUGUAGUCUUAAUUUCAUGAGCGGUCUAAUUAUCUCUAGGACAGACCACAACAAAUUCAAACUAAUUCACAACUGAGAAUUAGAAGAUAACAGUAUUUGCUGCUACUAUAUAUUGGACUGAACUCAAAUAAUAAGUGCUUUUUCUUCUUUAAAUACAAUUGGUAUUUUCAUGAAUAGAUUAAAUCAGCGUUGAGAUCAUAAUGAAGCUUGUUGAGGAAAUAAAUAUUUGGACAUUACAACUACAUUUGUGUAUCCCUAAAAUACCUUGGAAAAUCAAAAUCCAAGACGUAGUAAAUCUAUCUUUUCACCCUUGAGAUCAUAAUCCACGUAUUAUCCCAUAUACAAUACACAUUUGUUGAGCACAAUUAUAACUUAGUUAGUGAGCACCCAACAAAAUUAAUUCAACAGGUAGCUCCAAACUGAAAACUAAAAGCAAAACGGAAUGCUUACAUCUUUUAGAAAACAAUUGGGUAGAAACAAUUUAGUUUUGUUAAGUUUGAUGUAAAUCUUUUUGGACUUUGUGAACCAACCAAGCUUUGGUUUUGAGGCAUUAUGUAUCUCAUUAAUCUGCAUUUAUUUUUGUAUCUGACGUAAUGUUUCCAUCAAUACCAAGGCAUCCUGUAGUGACUUGGGGUCAAUCUUAAAGCUUAGCCAAUCCAUCCUAAAGUAGAAUUUUACUUGGAAAUAAAAGAAUGGAUAAUCACAUAAGAGGUACAUGGUCAUGUAGAUAUUUGUUGCACCAACAUGACGAUAGCCUAAAAACAGAAGGACCUCCAUAAUCUAAUUACACUAAAUCACAAUCAUAUAACUGACACAUACUGAGCCAAAAAAUAAUAUUAUAAAUACUUGAUAUGCAAAUUGCAAAUAUCAAUACAAAUCAUAUUAUAAAUAUACAACAUGCAAAGAACAGUAAGGAGCUGCGGAUGGCACAUAGUAAUUUUUUUUCGAUUUACUAUUUAUUAGAUUUUAAUAUAAAAGACAGAAAAUCAGGUUACUUUCUACAUGGCCUUUUUUUUGCAAAAAAUGAUUUUGUUGUGAUAUAGAAUUCACAGUAAAUGAAGGGGAGCCUUGGCGCAGUGGUAAAGCUGCUGCCUUGUGACCAUGAGGUCACGGUUCAAGUCCUGGAAACAACCUCUUACAGAAAUGUGAGGAAAGGCUGCGUACUAUAGACCCAAAGUGGUCGGACCCUUCCCCGACCCUGCGCAAGCGGGAGCUACAUGCACGGGGCUGCCCAUAGAAUUCAUAGUAAAUGUUUUAGGAGCUUAGGGAGACACCCGUGUUAACAGACCUAGUAAACAAAUAUGCGUAUAAGGAAAGAAACAGCAAUGGCUACCACAUGGAAACAUGUGGAGAGAUAUCUAUAUAUAAGAAACAAAAAUGAGUAACGUACCAUGGCUAUUUCAUGGCCAUAACAAAAAGGAAGUGAAACAGAAGAACUUGAAUACGUACAUCAGUACUAUUAGAGUUGACGAAGGGCUGGUGCUGCUUGCUGUUUUUCUGCCGGACGAUUCGUGCUUGCGGAUGUUGAUGUUAACCUCAAUACGUCUGCAAGUUUUUCUUCAGUUUCUCUUAUUUCUUCAGUAGCUGCAUAAGCAAUCACGUGUUUCUUUGAUCUGAAUGUUUACUGUAGCCAGAAUCUUGCUGCGUUCCUGCUAUGGCCCAGACCUAAUUUUAGCUUGUUUAAUUAGCUUUUGACCCGGCACAAUCCGAACUCGUGGGAUGGCACGCGCAACUAUUGGAUUGUGGCAAAUUUCCCGUUGAUUCAGUUAAGCGAUGAAAUAAAAGGAAAGACUAAAAAUGACGCAAGUUUUGGCAUGGCAAAAGCCUCUCUCUAUGACUGAAUUUCUGUUCUCUGUUUCCUUCAACCUCAUGUGUGUGUGUUGUGUUUUUCAGAAAUAAAAUUCAGAUAAAAAGAG
rnacentral:lncRNA from 1 species